ensembl:lncRNA
GUGGCUUCACGUGUUCUGUUGAUGUUUACAUGAUCGAAAUGACUUGAACACAAACAAACAAACAAAGAGGAAGACCACACCGGAAGGAAAAAACUACAAGUCCCAGCAUCCUCUGUGUUUAGGGCGGAGCAGUGAAAGUGAAAGCCUUCAGAGUAGCAGGAGGAGGAAGGUGGAGCUGAGGCCGGUCAGUGUUAACAUGAAUAUGUUUCUUCUUAUGACAUAAAAUAAUUCCACGCUGUUCGUGUCUGUGGGUGAAGCGUGAGGCCGGUGGGCUCCUCUCAGCACUUUCUGUCCACUCCGUUGAUUUCCUGUAAGUAGAGAGGAAGUGAAGCGAAGUGCGCAGUUUAGCUGAGCCUCCGUUUAGUGUGAGAGAGCAGGAGGAGAGUGAGAGCUGUGCUGAGGCAGGUGAGUGUAAACACCGCUCUGACAUUACUGUGUCUCUGUGGCGGGAGCAACAGGCUCCGUCAGUGGAGGCAAAAAUAAUCAGACUUUGGUUUUUCAAAGGAAACAACUUUAUGUCGGAAGUUCCCGCACGCUCAUUGGAUAACGGUGUGUCAAUCGCAAGUUAUUAGCCAAUGAGCGUGCGGAUUCACAGAAAGACCCGCCUUUAUCACGGGACUUUAAAAACAACAAUGGCGACAGAAACUCUGUGAGUGGAGUUCAGGGUGACGUUAUGAAACUGUGACGUUUGAGCCACUUCCUGUUCUCAGUCCCAGCGUCCUGAUCACCGAGGUUUCUGUUGCUCUGAUAUCUGAUAUUGAUUAUAUCGGUAAACAGGCUGUAGCAUAAACAUCAGGUCUGUUCUUCCUACCUCGCUUACUACAUCCAAGACCAAAUCAUCGCGCUAACUUUGAGCUCGCUAUCCCGGUUCUCCGAACACACCUGUUGUUGACGAUCAGUACAGCUGGAUGAAGUCAUGUGAGAUCACUGGGUGGCUUAACAGGGGCUACGCAUCGAUAGUAGAAACAUUGAUCGGCAACCCUCUGAUUGGUCGGCGAAAAUGUCGAAGGAGCGCGCUCGGUAUUUUUCGGCAGCAGAGCAAGAACUCCUGAGUGAGGGAUUUCAGGAGUUUCAGAGUUUAAUUAAAACGCAAGUGAACACUGCAAAGGCUGCAAAAGCAAGGAGAGAGGGCUGGCAGGAAGUUGCUGACAAAUCAAACUCGUAAGUAAUUUAAUAAUAACAAUAAUAAUAAUAAUAAUAAUAAUAAUAAUAAUAAUAAUGGAUUUGAUUUAUAUAGCGCUUUUCAAGGCACCCAAAGUGCUUUACAAUAGCACUAUUCAGUCACUCUCACAUUCACACACUGGUGGAGGCAGCUACGGUUGUAGCCACAGCUGCCCUGGGGCAGACUGACAGAAGCCAGGCUGCCAUAUCGCGCCAUCGGCCCCUCUGGCCGACACCAGUAGGCGAGCCACAACAGGACCCACUAGAACAUGGGAACAACAACCAAGAAAAGGGCAGAGCAAAAAAAGACAGGUGGUGGUCCUGCACCCCCUCGUCAACAAGUUGGUUACGUAAAUAAUACCCUCACGGGAAAAUCGAUAUCUCUCUAUGAGCACACUGUCGCGCUGAGCUAAAGGAUCCUGUCUGUCCCGCAAUAUACGCUGAAUUCUGAGGACUCUCCUUAUCAAUCUUGCACCUUCCGCAAUGGGCUGCUCGCGUAUACGGACAGGA